rnacentral:rRNA from 1 species
UACGUAGGGUGCGAGCGUUAAUCGGAAUUACUGGGCGUAAAGCGUGCGCAGGCGGUUAUGUAAGCCAGAUGUGAAAUCCCCGGGCUCAACCUGGGAAUGGCAUUUGGGACUGCAUGGCUAGAGUAUGGCAGAGGAGACUAGAAUUCCUGGUGUAGCAGUGAAAUGCGUAGAUAUCAGGAGGAAUACCGAUGGCGAAGGCAGGUCUCUGGGUCAAUACUGACGCUCAUGCACGAAAGCGUGGGGAGCAAACAGGAUUAGAUACCCUGGUAGUCCACGCCCUAAACGAUGUCGACUGGUUGUUGGGAGAUUUAUUCUCUUAGUAACGAAGCUAACGCGUGAAGUCGACCGCCUGGGGAGUACGGUCGCAAGAUUA